UACAGGGGGUGCAAACGUUGCUCGGAAUUAUUGGGCGUAAAGCGCGCGUAGGCGGCUACUUAAGUCGGAUGUGAAAGCCCUUGGCUCAACUGAGGAAGUGCACCCGAAACUGAGUGGCUAGAGUACGAAAGAGGGUCGCGGAAUUCCCGGUGUAGAGGUGAAAUUCGUAGAUAUCGGGAGGAGCACCGGUGGCGAAGGCGGCGACCUGGGUCGAUACUGACGCUGAUGCGCGAAAGCGUGGGGAGCAAACAGG
rnacentral:rRNA from 1 species